rnacentral:rRNA from 1 species
GAACGCUGGCGGCAUGCCUUACACAUGCAAGUCGAACGGCAGCACGGACUUCGGUCUGGUGGCGAGUGGCGAACGGGUGAGUAAUGUAUCGGAACGUACCUUUCAGUGGGGGAUAACGUAGCGAAAGUUACGCUAAUACCGCAUAUUCUGUGAGCAGGAAAGCAGGGGAUCGCAAGACCUUGCGCUGAUUGAGCGGCCGAUAUCAGAUUAGCUAGUUGGUGAGGUAAAGGCUCACCAAGGCGACGAUCUGUAGCGGGUCUGAGAGGAUGAUCCGCCACACUGGAACUGAGACACGGUCCAGACUCCUACGGGAGGCAGCAGUGGGGAAUUUUGGACAAUGGGGGCAACCCUGAUCCAGCCAUGCCGCGUGAGUGAAGAAGGCCUUCGGGUUGUAAAGCUCUUUCGGCCGGGAAGAAAUCGCAUGGGCUAAUACCCUGUGCGGAUGACGGUACCGGCAUAAGAAGCACCGGCUAACUACGUG